UACGUAGGGGGCAAGCGUUGUCCGGAAUCAUUGGGCGUAAAGAGCGUGUAGGCGGCUCGAUAAGUCCGCUGUGAAAGUCCAGGGCUCAACCCUGGAAGGCCGGUGGAAACUGUCGGGCUAGAGUCCGGAAGAGGCGAGUGGAAUUCCUGGUGUAGCGGUGGAAUGCGCAGAUAUCAGGAGGAACACCCAUAGCGAAGGCAGCUUGCUGGGACGUUACUGACGCUAAGGCGCGAAAGCGUGGGGAGCGAACAGG
rnacentral:rRNA from 1 species